UCCCUCAUACGUUUCGCCACCGCUACUUUGCAAAACCCUAGAAAACUCUUCAGAUCUUGAAUCCCAAUCGUAAUCUACUCUUCUUCGAUCGUCGCCACCCAAAAGUUGCCUCCAAAGAUUGUAUUCAUGGUAAGUUUAUGUAUCCGAUUCGAAGUUCUUGACAUUUGAUUUUGAUAUAUUCGUUUUCAACUGUUCAUCAGAAAGCCUACUUGCCGUGGGAGAUUAUGAUCGGAUUUCUGUUCGUGAAGCUCUUGGAGGCGGCGCAGCCGCUCUAUGUUGUCUCUUUUCACCAUUCAUCCAUCCAUAAUCUUUGGAUCUUUUCAUUCAAUUUCAACAGUUUCGAGCUUGAUAAACAAGGAUAAGGUGGAAUCAGUGGUCUCGAGCUUCUUCUCAGUUAGAAGAACAUCACAGGAGAACUGGGAUCUGAUUGUAAAGCGAUCUCUUAAUAAUUCAGCACUUAAUCAUUCAGAAGUUGUCAAACAACCCCGAAGUGUUGCUGGACAUGCGGCUAGGAAUUUCGUCGAACAUGGGAUGACUGACGAAAAACUAUGUAAUGUUUCCGAAGAGGCCUAUGCUCCAUAUUAACUUCCUGUGUUUACGAAAGGCUAUUUAUUUAUUUUCGACAAGAAGCCAGCUCAUUUGCUGAUAAGCCAGUUUGCUUGAUAUGAUAUCAUUGGGGAAGUCGCGAAGGUUAUUUAUUUAUUUUUGACAAUUUCUAUUUUUGUGAAUUUUUGAGUUGCUAACAAGAUUCAUAUGUAUCCAUUGUUGUUUCCUCUUCGUUUGAAACGACCUUGGUAUCCCGGACCUUCAUCUUUUCAAGUUGCACGGAUCCAGAGACUUGCAAGCGGCCAGAUUAGUGAAGAUUUUCAGCAGGAGAAACCACUUUGGAAACUUACAUGUUAUGGUCAUUAUUUAUUGGAUAGUCACCAAGCAGACAUCAGAGAAAGGCAGGAGGGAACUAUUGAGGUUAAAUUUAGUUAAGCAGGAGGAAGGUGGAGGCUUAAGAGAACCCAUCUUAAACAUUUACAAAGAUGUAACCUUUGAUCCUGUCGUCAGUUCUGGAUCCCAGUUUUGGGUGUUAAGUCUUAUGAACCCGCUGAAAAAAAUGAUAUUACAAAACGAAAUGCAGGAGAUCCUGAUGCAAAAGGACACAAUGAUGUCACAAAAAGAAAUGAUGUGCAACAACAAGAACAAGAACGGAGGGUAAUGGAUAAGAAGAUCAAAGAGAUGAAAGACCAGCUGAUACGAGCCAAAGCUUACUUAAGUUUUGUAUUGCCAGCUGGCAAUACUCAUUUAAUAAAGGAAUUACGGUUACGAGUUAAAGAACUAGAACAAGCCAUGGGAGACGUUGGCAAAGAUUCUGAUCUGUCUAAGAGGGCCUUUCAGAGGAUGCUGGCCAUGGAAAAUUCGUUGCAAAAAGCGGGCCGAAUUUAUCUGGAUUGCUCUAGCAUGGUGAAGAAGCUUCGUGUGAUGACGAACAUCGCACGAAUUGUGUGAGUGAAGAAAGUUUAAUGGACCCUUUAAAUACCAAUACAAUUGCAGCAUGCCAACUGAUUCCCCAAAACUGCAGGGGAGAUUCAGCUUUAGGUAAACCGACUACUUUGUACAAAUCUGAAAAGAGGCAAGAGUUAAAAGAGGAAGGUUAACUUUGGUUGGAUGUGGAUGGCAAGCAUUUCCUGCAUAUGUGAAUGUUGGGUGUUAUUAUGUGGUUCGAUUGCCACUUGGUUCUUUGCUGGCCUUCAUUAUUAACUUUGGUGCUAAGGGAAUAUGGUUGGGUCUGGUUGGCGGUAUGACUAUGCAAACGCUUAUUUUACUAUGCGUUGUGGUAUACGUGAUGUGAAAAAAAUCAUUGUAGGUCGGUGUUGAAGGCCUGUAGACAUAAAUGGCUCCCACUGUUUCUAGAUCCGGUGACGCUGUAUUCCCCAACGUUGAGGGUGUGUGUACGGGCUGUAAAUGAGUCAAGCCAGGGUGGGAGGCAGCUCCAUCAAUGUGUGUUUUUUAUUGUUCAGAUGCAGGGAUGAUAGUCAAUGCCUUCAGCGAGGAUUGACCUCCAUCAAGUGCUUUAGGAACUUCACCAGACAACAGUUUCCUCUUUCUUCCAUCAUUAAAACUCUCAUCAAGAUUGUAUUGAGAUGGGGAGAUUCAGGUUAAGGUAAACCAGCUACUUUGUACAAAUCUGAAAAGAGGCAAGAGUUAAAAGAGGAAGAUUAACUUUGGUUGGAUGUAGAUGGAAAGCAUUUCUUGCAUAUGUGAAUGUUUGGAUGUUAUUAUGUGGUUCGAUUGCCACUUGGUUCUUUGCUGGCCUUCAUGAUUAACUUUGGUGCUAAGAUUAAACAAUUUUCAAGAAACGAGGAAAACGCUUACAACAAUUCCGAUUACACUUAAAAUUGGUUAAGCUAGAAGUACCCAUAAAUACGAUAGCUCUUGUGGAGCUUCGAAAAAGUGGUUUACCCCAUGCUCAUAUGAAUUCCAGCUGCUGUUUAGGUUGGAGAAUCCGAGAUGUUGGCUGUGAUGCUUGAUUAUGGGGAAGUGAUGUUCAAUCCUUCAAUGAAGUAAGACCUAUUUGCUCAUCGUGAAUUUUGUGGGUUCAAGAAAUGGGUGACCUUGGUGUAAACAUGUUGAUUUAGUCACGUUGCCUCAAACUGGGUCGAAUGGUUACAUUUUCGUGGAGGGUUGAAUCACUGCGGAAUAUGCCAAGAAGUGCUUGAUGGCCAAUUUGUGAGAAUCAAGAAAGGCAACGGCCUGCUAAUGGGUUGUCUAAUAAAAGCUCAAAGUGGAUUAGCAUUUGUUAUAACAAAUGUAAAAGUCAACAACUUGAUAUAAAGAGCUAUAAAAGUCAACAAUUACUGCUAUGGAGACGACCAGGAGAGAUAGUCAAGACAGUGGAAAUUAUUAAAUGGACGAUUGGAGAAGAAACUCUUGUCAAUCAAAGAUAGGCCUUUAGCAGGUGAUGUUAAUCAAUGGCCUCUUUUCAUGCUCUUGGGUUUGAUGUUAACACAUACGACAAUAUUAUCAUCAUUUAAAUUCUAAUUACCACUGUAAUGUGUUGUAUUUAUUCAAAAAAAUGUGUGUUUGUUGUUUAGGCAUGGCAAGUAUUGCAGCCACAACGAAAAACCAAUUUUGAGCCUAAAUAAUUUAUGUUAAUGUUUGGUUUCUAUUCAUUCUUUGGUAUCAAAUUUGAUAUGCA